UGCUGCUGGCACGGGCACCAGCUCCCAGGGCACAGCAGCACUUUCUCUCCUUCCAGAUGCUGCUGCCCUUCAUCAACAUCAAGCACCCAGCUGUAUGUGAACGGGCCGUGGCAAGGAUCGCAAAGCUGGCCGAUUUGAUGGCCAGCUCUUCCUCAGUGCAGGUAGGGAGGCAGGCACCCUCCAGCCAGGCUGUCUCCCACUCCCUGCCCACCGUGGGCAGCAGCCUGCGGCUCAAGAUGCCUGAGGCAUUCAGCACGGCUCUGCCCUGGGCAAGGGUCUCGGCUUCUCUUUUUCCCAUGUUUUUUCCUCCCCAGUGCCCUUUCUGCCAGCAGCCAUCUUGGCCCCCAGUCCUGUGCAGGUCAGCACUGCCCAAGGAGCAUGGCGGGAGGCCAGGCCUGGCAGCUCUCCCUGCCCGGCUGCCCAGCUCGCUGCUCUGGGAGGGCCCUGCACAACUCCGACCCUCCAGGAUCCUUCCCUGGGGCAGUCUCAGGUUCGGAGCUUUUGUUGCGCUGCUGCCCCUCAGCCCUUCUACCUGUCCUGCCUCCCUUGCCCAGGUCUGGAGCUUGCUUGGACACGACCACAGCUCUUCCCACUAUGACAUCAGCAAGGACCGCUUGCUGGGACAGCUGCUGGGACGUCUCAUUGUUUGCUGGACUAGCAAGAUCUGGGCGAUCCAGCAGGAGGCUUUGGUUGCUCUUCAUCACCUCUCCAUAUUCAUCCAGCACCAAAAAUGCAUGACGUCACCUCAACCAGACAAUUGUCAUGAUCAUCCAGAGCAUCCCCAGGAUGGAGGGAAGAGGGAAGCAGGGAAACCCUCCUGUCUUUCUCUGUGCAGCACGAUUAGCAUGGCAAAGGUAAUGAGCUUCUUCCUUGCUGGGCCUCUUGUCUGGGGCAUCAGAACGAGACUGGUGUAAGCAAAGGGAUCCAGAACCAGCGGGCUUGGCAUGACCUCACUGUCCCUGGUCAGAGGGUUGCUGCUGUUCUGGAGCAGGGACUUCAGAGGGCUGCACUCCAGGGUCCCUCCUCUCUCACCUAGGGACCUCUCUUCUUAUCCUCUACUCCGCAACGACUCCAGCCCCUGCUGCCAGCUUUCCCGUGGGUCCUCUCGCCAGAGCUGCUCUCACUGCCCAGCUGAGCAGCACUAUCAGGGCACUCAGUGUAACACGUCUUCCCCGCCUUCCUCCUUCCUGCAGGCAUUUGGGGAAUACCUCCACCCUCCUGAUAAGGCAGUCAUCGUCCUCAGGGCCAUAGAGGCCAUGAGAGACUCAUGCGUAUGUGACAAGGAAGAGUUGAUCAGCGUUGUGAACAUGGCCGUGGCAGAACCUGCCUCCUGGCUGACAGAGGUGCGGAUCAUCACGCGCUGCAUCUAUAACAACUUGCAGCACAUCAGCGCAGCAUCAGCCCGGUGCAGCCUGAAGUCGCUGUUUCUAAGCAUGGCAGAGCAGAACCCCAGGGAGAUGAUCUUGAGCCUUAUAGAUAUCUCUCCAGCAUGUAACAGGUACUGACCCCCACAGCCCUCGUGGGUUUGUUCCAUGUGGGGAGAGGGACGUGGAGGCCCACAGAAAACUGCAGGACACCCCUGAGGAGCUGGGCCCUGUACCCCAUCACUCUCUCCUGCCCUGCUGGGUUGGCCAGGCCUGCAGUAGCCAAAGCUGUCCAAGCCAGACCCGAGGCCUGCCACGAGUUUCCUCCCUGCCCCACAGGGAACAGUUUCAGCCCCCUCCUGCCUGCCCCAUCUGGGACCUGGGCACUCCCAGUGAGGGGUCAGGAAGGGCCAGGGCUGCAGCACAGCCUGGCUGCUGCAGGGCUGGCCCAGGCACCGUGUGGUGGCCAAGGCAGCCCUGCUGACAGUGUUCUCUUUCAGCAAAGUUGCUCAGGCCAUGUGGGAAGCGCUGCUGUCCCAGCCCCUCAUCUUGGUGAAGGUCUUGAGGGAGCUGAGAAGGAACCUCCAGCACCUGCA